UUGGUUCCAGGCCAAGUGGGAUAUUUACCCCAGGCCAGGCCACUUUACUCUGACUGACAAGCCUGGGCCUGGAGGGACUAAGGGGAGUGGCUUCCCCUUUGAAAGGGGGGAUAAAGGGGCACUGCCAGCUUGAGCUAGAGAACAGGGGGGGCCCUAGAACCAGCCCAGAGAGACUCCCUCGCAGGGACCUGGUCCCCCUCCUCUCAGUGCCCAGCAGCAGCGUGUCUGGGGGCCCUGGCUGAAGCCUGAGCUGGGGGAGUUAAUUGGUGCCAUGUUGUAGGAUUGGUUACAGCAGAAGGUCUUGGCUACUGUUCUUUUACUCACUGUGCCCACACCUAAUGGAGGCACCGCCCUGCUUGAGGGGGAACCCGCUGCAGCUGGGGCAGCACAUGCCUGAUCCUCCACCUUCCCUGCAGCUACUCACAGGCAGGUCAAUGAGCUGAAAAUGUGACCAACUUUCCUUCCCACACUGGGCCAGUGUUUCGAUCCCUUCUCCUGGGCCAGGGAAGGGCCCAGCUGGCACCAGGAGCUUACAGAUGGGCCCAGAAAAGAGGCCGGCAGGGGAAUCCACCCCCAACAUAGCAGACUCCCACUCAGAUGGCCCUCCCUUGGCCAGGCAGCAACCCCCAGCAGCGGAGGAGAAAUAGUCACCCUCAUGGAUGAAGCCCUGGCAGAUCCACCUCGCUCCAGUACUGAAAGAAUUCAACCUGCAUUGAGCCAUACGCCAAAUAUCCCAUGCCACACAGAGCCACUGAAGUCACCACUCGGAUACAAGCAGCUACAACCAGCCAAAGUGUAAGCACAUCAAGACACAUGGAGAGCAGGAUCCCAGCCGUGUUACUACAGGCCCUGUCAUUUGUCCUCUAAAAUAUGAACACCGGCAAAAAUGACCCCUGCUAAAUUCCUCUGGUUCCUGAAAGGGGAAGAUCAGCAAAAGGCCAGCAUUAAAACACAGAGCAAAGCGUUUGUCCUACAAACCUGGGCUUAACCCUGCGAGACAUUUUAAGAUACAGCUGUCCUGCGGCUUUUUACUUUAAGUCCCUUCUCUAGUUCUUUUUUUUUUUUUAAUGAAAGGAGAGUUGCGGCUGUAAACUGAGGCUGUAAUGUAUUAUUAUGAAUGACGUGUGAUUAAUAAAGGGGGUAGUUUUGCUUGAUGGGAAUUUUAUAUCCUGUUAAACAGAAGGUGUCGAAAUGCCCCCUUUAAACGAAGGUUUGGCUGGGAGAAUGUCAAGCUAAAACUUUUAAUCUUUAGCCAGAUUUUGAGUCUGUAAACAUGGCUCUGUAUUCGAGACCUUGGUGGAUUACUCAGUGCAAGUCUCUGAAGGGAUGGUAGAGAAAUCACUCCGCCUGUAUGUGUCCUAGCUUCACUUGACUAUGGGGCUGGCCUUGUGCAGUAUGUCUUGCUCCUUCCCCAGAGGUGGCUGCACUUGGUGGGGCUGGUGGACAGUCAGGAUGUAUGAGAAUGAAAGAUGCUAUGGGAGGGUCAAAGGCCAUUAGGGAUGGACAAGUAGGGAGUACUGCUCUUUGCAAAUGUCCCUGCCUUGAUGCCCACCCCCAGCUCCCUGCUCUGAUGCCCUCACUGCUCCCAACCCUGUGUUCACCUGUAGGUAAGUACAUUUGUACUUAAAUACAUACUUAAGCAUUUAAAGUACUCCACAUGCUUGUACUUAAGUACUUGACAUAUUCUGUACUUAGUGCUUGUAUUUCAAUACAUUCGAAAAGUACUUGAAGGAUAAUUUUCUUUUAUCUGUGAGUACCUUUUCAGAAUAGUUUUUUGAAACAAUCACCUGCCUCUCCCCUAUCCCAUACUCUGU